rnacentral:lncRNA from 1 species
ACCAAACUCGAGCCUGAAACUUUUAUAUCCUGAACAGUCUAAUAUGGGCGUUGAACAUUUAACUUGAAACCCCAGCCUAGAAAUCCGAAUGACAUUUAAUUUUGUGAGCUGAGUUUGGACUUUUCAAAACCCGGCUAACCAGGCCCGAUUGACGCCUCUGGUACUCUUCUAUUAGGUUCUUGCUCUACUGGGUGUAUAUAUACUCUGCUCAAUUGCCAAACGUUCCCAGCAAAGUAGAACUACUAGGAAAUCUUCUGAGAUCAAGGGAUGUCAGGUCCACAGUGCUGUGAAAAUGCGCCAAGCUUGAGCUCAAGUUCUGGAGCAGGGCAUGUGGAAGAAAUUGGAGGCCUCCAAUCUUACGUUACUGGCCCUGCUGAUUCCAAGAUUGCGGUUUUGCUUGUCUCUGAUGUUUUUGGUAUGUAUUUCUUCCAAAACUUAUCUUUGAUUCGGCAAAGUUGCAAUCUUUUGUUCUGUUUAGUCUUUAAUUUGGUCUGAUUUUACUUUUUGUUUGAUAUCUAAGUCUUAUGUCAAUCAUCAUCGCUUGUUUUUCUGUACUGGGUUUUAGCAGGGGUAUGAUAUGAAGAAAUUGCACAAAAGAUUAAUACAACAAUGAAAUGAGAAUAUGUAGAUUUAAGAAAAAAAUUGUUUUUUUGCCUUCCCUUUUGUUUGUAGUGGAAGCUACUUUUACUAGCCACUUUAUUGUUAAAGGUACUUAUCUAGUUAUCUUGGUAUCCAUAAUUUUGAGUAUGUAUUAUAUGUGCUUCCAGUCCUCUCUGGAAUCAGCGCUGUAUAUUGGUUUCUCUAUUGUGAACCUUGAAAUCCUAAACUUCUUAGCAAGUCAAAUUUUUGACUCAUUGUCCUUUUUUGUGUGCAGGAUAUGAAGCUCCAAAGUUGAGGUAUGAGAUUCCAGAACCUUGUCCCAUUAGAAUUCUUCUAGUUUUGUUCUAUUCUUCUCCUCUUUCUGGGUGGGGACCAUGAGAGGCUGAAAUAAGUUGAUUGAAAUCUCUUUGCUGUGCCCUUUUCCUUGAUAGCCUGGGCUUCCAUAAGCAUUUGAUGAAUAAGCAGCAGCAAGCUACCUGUCUAAUAUCAUAAUCUGCUAUAAAAGCCAUGCGUGUAUACGUUUUCCAUCUUGUUUCCUCCAUCUUCUGGAAAAAGGUGAAACUGGGAAACCAUUUUCUGAGUCUAGAAGAGGAUAAUUAUCAUCUUGAAGUUCCUGGCUCAAAGAUAAACAUAUCAGCAGUAUUUAUAUUGUUCUACUUCUUUUAGCGUCAUACAGUUCUAAUGUCGUUUAUGUACCAAUGCUACUAAGUCGUCUUAUCGACCAAAGCCACUGAGCUGCACGUCCUAUGUACAAUAAUCCUAUGCACUAAAAAGUAAUAUGUAGCAAUAUGUAAUUUCUAAACUAAUAUAUUAGUCUUUCAACUGUGAAGGAAGCUUGCAGACAAAGUUGCAGGAGCUGGAAUUUUUGUUGUAGUUCCAGAUUUUUUUUUCGGAGAUCCUUUAGUGCUUGAGAAGACUACUGUUGAUGACUGGUUGAAGAAUCAUGGCCCUGUAAGCCUUCUUCUUAAUAACAGCCUAAUCACCUUUUGUUUGCUCAAUUGAAAGCAUGUGGUAACUAUAGUAUAGUAUUAAUAUCUCCCUUUGAUGCUACAAUUUCCUUUUGCCAAAUCAGGAACUCUGUUUUCCUCUCUAGUUUGAACCAUGUCAAGAUUUCUAUCGAUUACCUUUUUAGAUCUUAGACUUCAUGCUGGCACUUCCUGGACAGUGAAUCUGUCUGUUCUGAUCUAUGGGAUCAAAUAUUGAACCAAUCAAAGCUGUAUUGGCAUUGACACUCUUAAAGGCUAAAGUGUAGCUCAUGACUUUCCUUUUGCAAUAUUUUCUACAUCGCAUUAGUCUGGAAUUGCCCAGCUUUGGUUGUGUUUCUAGGUUAUAAAUCCACGCUCCAAGAAAAAGUUUUUAAAUCCUAUUUUCAGGCAUUACUUUACAACCAGAAUAGUCAGGAUGUUGGGAACCAAUGGACAUUAAUGAGAACAAAAAUAGGAAGUUAACAUUUGCUAUAAAACAAAAUAUAAACUUACAGCUAUAAUAAUUUUUCUUAGUAUGGAAAACAAUGAUCAUAGAGUGGUAAUAUUUCAAGAAGUUGCUAUCUCUGCAUGAAAUGCUACAAUGGAUCAAUUCUCAAGCGGAAUGCCUGAGGUAAGAGGAAAAGAAUUUGUUUGAGUAGGUAUUCAAAUGCAAUGAGACAGGAGGAGAUGAUAACCGUCUAGUGCUCAGUAACAGAAUUGCUUAUCAGUGUUGAUGCAUGACAUUUAAUCUUUAUGGCUGCACAAAGUUUUACCCACCCAAAGCAUGACUGCAUGACGGGGAAAGAGAAAAAGGGUUAAAUGCAUAGUAUCACAGAGAGAGAGGAAUAUGGGCUUUGAAGGGGCUGAAAACUCGUCCUAGAGAACGAAACUACGAUGACGUUUUUUCUCACUUCUUCUCUUUGUUUUAUAGAAGCCAUCUCCACUUAUAUGUAUCUUUACUUGAGUGUUAUAGACUGAAUGAUGUUUAAAUGAGUAAAAUUCCUUACACAGCAAAACUCAACGAAGAUCUGAGGUUAAUGUCUUGAAUAUAGGAUUCACUUUAGUUUCUCAGUAUACAUUUAGAAUGGCAGAUUUAUGCCUAUGAAAAACAAGUUAACUGAAAUACUUAUCUUGUAAUACCGUUGCUCAAAAAUACUAACCUAUGAAUGCAAAAAUCUGGAUUUGAAAUCAUGCAUUGAUAAUUUAAACUCCAGAUUUUGAUUCACUUCUCUGGUUAGUUUUCUUCUCUACCUCUUUCCCCUUUUUUUCCCCUUCUUUUUCUGGUUGAUGUUAUGUUGGCACUAGUCUUGCUUGCACUUUAAAUUACCUCUUGAAUCUGCUAGAAUAAUACUUACUGGUUUGCUACUUAUUAUCUUUCAUUCUAACUUUCAAGUGCCCGAUUUAAAAGUCACCUUCCAUGAACAAAUACUAAAAGUCUACCAACCUUUUCCUGAGUCUUUGUUUGGAAAUAAAUAUUUUGAAAACUUUUAAAGGAUCAAGGCUUCGAGCAUGCAAAGCCAGUCAUUGAAGCUUUAAAAGGCAAAGGCAUCACUAAAGUUGGAGCUGCAGGCUUUUGCUGGGGAGGUAGGAUCUUUAUCUGGACAACAGUUGCUAGUUGAAUGUCCAUCAAAGUGUUCAGUCUGCUUCUCAGUUCCUUGGAAAAAAUCAUAACUUUGUCUUCUUUAGUUUACUAACACAAAUUCUGGAAUUUUCAGCAAAAGUUGUAGUGGAACUAGCAAAAUAUGCCUAUAUCCAUGCUGCAGUGCUUUUACACCCUUCUUUUGUCACUUUGGAUGAUAUUCAGGGUAUAGCUCUGUUCUUAAGCCUUAUUUUUAUUUUUUUAACUCAUAUAUGCUAAUAAAAAACUGAGGCAUGUAUUUGAGAUGUAUUCAUUUUCAUCUAAUUUGAAUUGUAUAGUUCUAUAUUGUCUGGCAGUUUGGUAAUGCAUGCAAUUUUCUGAGUUGCUCCAAACAAGAUCUCCUUUCUACAUUUCUGAGAUUGCUGUAGCUUGAUCUAAUUAUCUUUAGGUUAUGGUUGGAACUCUAAUCAUGUUAGAUUUUAGAUUUGGGACUUUUAGCUUCAGUUUUAUGCAUGUAGUGACUGACUUUUUAUGGUACAUUUUAGGGGUCAAGGUUCCAAUUUCUAUAUUGGGAGCUGAGAAGGACCAGAAAUGGCCACCAGAGCUGCUGAAAAAAUUUGGUGAAGCCUUAGAUGCUAAGCCUGAGGUAGGAAAUUUAAGAGAUUUUAUACAUUUAAAUCUGGCGCCUGUCUGUAAGUUAUGUUUUUUCCUUUUUGUUGUCACAUUUUUGGGAUUUCUUUAAUUUCUUAAAAGACUAAAUUCAAGGGAACUACGGCGUUCAAUUCAUAUAGUGUGUUCUAUGUUCUUCCGGAUUUGCUCUCUUUCUAACUGCUUGAAUAGUUUAUGGACUCAUCUAUAUGUUCAUUGAAAUUCCACUGGUUGGGCAGAGCAGCUAGUGACUAGCAUACCUUUUUUCCCCCUCCAUGGUACAUUGAAAGGACUAAGCCCUUUAGGAACUAAUCAGUCUUGUGUUGAAGCACCAACUAAAUCAGCAUUAAGGCAUGCGUGUGACUAGUAUACUUCAGUGUAUGAAAUAUGUGGAAUUGCACGAAAGUGUGCUGUUUGAUAUACAAACAAACAUUAGGAUAAAGAAUUAGUUACUAUAAUGCAUCUCAUUAUCGGGUUGAGACUGUCUUUUGAAGUUAUACAUGAUGUUGUAGCUGAAAUGCUUAGUUUAGCAUCCUUUACUACUCUUGCAAUCAAAUUUCAAGGUUAUAGUUAGUCCAAAUCAGUGGUAAUCAACAAUUUUGACAUUUAUCAAAGUUAACAAAAUGAGGACAUUGAUAGAGAUUUUUCUUGCAGGUUGAUGGUUUCGUGAAGAUAUUUCCUGGGGCUACGCAUGGAUGGACUGUGAGAUACAAGGAUGAAGAUGAAAAAGAGGUGAAGGCAGCAGCAGAGGCCCAUCAGGAUACGUUGGAUUGGUUUGUUAAGUACCUCAAGUAGUUCUCUUUAAAAAUUGCAUCACCAGGUUCAGUCACUUGUUCACAACGGAGGCUUAUCUUGUUUUGCAUGAAAAUGUCUUUUUAAGUCUUUGAAUAAAGUAUUGUCUUGUGUUUAUGGGGGAUCAUGUUCUUGUUUCUAGACUUAGGUAAUCAAUUGAGUGACUUCAACUGAUCAGGGUUUUAUAUCAGAUGUACAAUGGUUGAUGAAGUAUGUUAACGAGAUAAUUUUUUUCUAUUAAAGAAGUGGCUUUAUUUAUUCUCUUUGUGGUAUGGUGGGUCCAUGCGACUUGUAUGUUGCUUAUAAUUGUUGGAACUUCUUUGUACUCGUGGAAUCCAUGGACAACAUACUUCUGCUACGUGCUGGAACUUGACGGCAAUGAAGUAUGCGAGGUUCCAUUGCCAUGGUAACGCAGAAGUGAGAUAGACGGCAAUGUACUUGGUGUGGGGGUUUUUAUUUGGCUACUUUUGCAUGACUCGUUUCUACAACCAAAGUUUACGAAGUAAUUGUGAUGAAAGACUAUGGCAUUGUAGAAUGUUGGACCCCUUUGUUUGAGAUCUUGAAUUUGACAUUCUUUGAGUUCUACCCUAACUGAAAUUUGAUACCACUGAUGCGUGUGGAAAAUGGUCAUGUGUUAAUUGUUAAUGGCGGGUUAAUGUUUAGUUACAACUUUCAAACAGUGGAAUACAAUCAUGAUUAUCCCGUAGUGUCUAAUUGAUGUACCCAAAAGUUUAAGCUCCCCGGUUCGGCAAAGGCAGAUCGAAGGACAGUCGGACCCUGAAUCAGAAGGGGAAUAUUCCAAAUUUCCAUCCGAAAGAAGAGGAAUGCUCAAUAGACCAUGAUUAUGGGAGAGCAUUUACCGGACCAUCAUUCAGAAGUGGACUUUAGGGAAUUUGAGUUUUUCAUGAAUUACCACUUUCCGCAUUCAUUUUUUUUUUUUUUAAAUCUGAUGUAGUCCCCUGUUGUGUAUUUGCCCUCUCAAUGUUUUCUAUAUUCGAGUUUUCUAUAAAACUUGUGCAAAGAUCAUUCUAUUUAUAAGCCUUUGAUCUUUUAAGAAACAAAUUAUGCUACAAAUUGCCAGAUAAGUACAUGGAUUUAGGGUUUCGACUCCAUGUUUUUGAUUUUUCUGAUCAUAGUCCCCUUAUUUGCUCAAUUAGCUAAUUAAUUGCCGGAUGGUAAUCUAUGACUAGAAUUGGUUGGAUACUUUUCUGUAUACAGAAUUGAUCCCUUAGAAUUAUAUUUAAUGAUGUAAGAUAAUAAUAUUCUAAACCAGGGCAAAUUAAUAUAUUCUUAAUGCAGACAUUAAUUGAAAAGAGGAGCUCCUUUUAUUCAUUGUGCGUGUAUGGAUACGAAGGUUGUUUGGUGACUGAAUCUUGAUGACAAAUUUUAGGAUUCAAAUUAAAGCACUUUGAAAUAGUUGGCCUGCGUGCUUCGUGGAUCGUUACUUUUUAAGUCAUCCAGUAAUAUAUCUUGUGUUUACGGGGGAUUAAUUUCCUGUCUCUAAUUUAACUAAAUAAUCUAGUUUAGUAACUUCUUCAACUUGAUCAGGGGUUGAUCAUGAUAUAUAGAUUCGUUGAUGAAGUUAAACCAAUGAUUUCCAUCAUAAGCGGUCCAAUGCGGGGGACUGGUGGGAUUUUGUCAGGCGCCCAGGCACAAUGGCCUGAAUUUGAGAACUGAUUAGAAUUGAAGGUGAGAAUGUGACACCCCAACUUUUAAGAUGCUAUUGUUUUACGGUUUCUUUAGUUCAUUUUAUUUUAAAACAUUAUUUUGUUUCAGGGAAGAUACUAAAGUUAUUUCUUUGGGUUUGAUUUAAAAUCUUAUUUUGUUUUAAAAGACUAGAAACCCUAAAAUUUUAAUCAAAAAUCCUAGUUUACUUGUGACUAUGUUUAAAUCCCUCAUAUUUGACUCAAAACCCUAAUUUUAUUUUAUGGAAUUGCAAAAUUCAUCACACUUUUCUUAAAAUUCCUUUUAUUUGGAAAUUAUUUAUUUAAUAUGAUCCUCCUACUCAAGUACUCCACAAUAAGUGUAAAUAAACCUAGAAAGUAGGGUUUCACUCUUCGUUUUCAAGAAUUGAGCAAAUUAGGGUUUUCGCGAUUUUUCGCAUGAUGAAAUUUCGGUAUGGAGCAAGGAUCAAAUUUGGUGAUUAAAAAUGACUUUUAAGUGAGAAAUAAUAUGUGAUUAGAAGCAAUGAUACAAGGUUAGUGAAUAGGAAGUAAAAACCCUAGUACGUGUGUUUUUAAGAAAAACGGCGCGAACCGGAGGGUCCCGCGCACUACCGAUUGAACGCACCACUUGACCACCACUUUCUUCCCAUACAAGUCUAUUGAUAUUUGAGCAAAAUAUCUCCUAAUUUACAGCUAAGCUUGACCGAAAUUUGUGGCUCAAAUGCAAGGAAGGAAAGAGAAAAUUUUUGUGGUUGAGGUUAAGCCAAGUGUUGGCCAAACUUGUGGUUAGAAUUAAUUCUUAUCUUUCUACCUUCUUAUAAGACAAACUUAGCUUAAUCUCCUUCAUUAUUUUCUGCAUCUUGGCCGAGUAAGGAGAGAGAGAAAGGGAGAGUAAGAGUUGCACCAUUUUCUUCUUGAUUUACACCAACCAAGUGCUAAAAUCGAAUUCUAAACCGAUUGAUCGUAAGUUUGGAAGCUUGGGAAGCUAAGGGAACCAAAAAUUUCAAGAAAUAGUGGAGGAUCACUCUUGCAAGCCUUCUUUUUGAGGUAUAAAAUCUGAUCUAUGGCUUUGAUCCUUUUAUUCUUGUUUAGGAUGUUAAAUAGUUCAUGUUUUGGGUUUGAUUACAAGUUAUGCAAGUUGAUGUGAUGAUUUUGGAUGAGAUAGGUAAGUUAGGGUUUGAUUAAUUUCUGCCUAUACUUAAUGUAUGAUUGAUAUAUGUUGUAUCCAAAGUUAUAUAGGGGGUUUUGGUAGCAAGUGUAGCAAGAAAUUUAGAAAACUAUCAUUGAAACCAAAAGAUUCCAGAUUUCUGGAAAAUUUUUUCCCCUUUCUGUCCGUUUUUGUUGCACCAUGUUAGAGGCCGAAUUGGGAUUGGAAUAAAACAUGAAAGUUGUAGAGAAUGAUAUUUUAUAGGUGCCUACAAAAUUUCAACUCAAUCAGAGCAAUGUAGCUCGUGAAAAGACCAAAAUACCCUCACUGAUUUAGGUCACUUUCCAGAGUUCCGCGUGGACAGUUUAGUCCUUUUGAUUGAAUUUAUUCACUAUAAUCCGUUUGGAUUCGGCCUUUCACCAAAACAUAAAAGUUUCAGUGUUCUGUAUUAGCUUUGUAACGCCACCAAGAACACCUUAAACGGACCUUGGUAGACUGAGAUAUGGUCACUUGAAUGCAGUACGGUGGAUUAGCCGAAUAGUUGAAACCAGGUUACAUGGAUUGGGAAUUUGAUCAGGUUACACUGGAAAUUGGACUAAGUGAUCUUCAUGAACAUUGUACCCUUAUUUCUCAGUUUUCUAAUGCCUUUGGAAUUUCUUGAUUUGGAUUUGUGAGCUAGGAGUUACGAUCCAGCAAACAUACCCUGUCCGUCAUCUUAAAGUGCAAAUUUCUGGCACUGUUUUCCAUACUUUCGACCCAUCUCUGUUCAGAUCCGGAUUUAAGUGUCUUCAUAAAAGUUAUAGAAUUUUCUCUUAGCUUCGUAACGGUACCUCAUGUACCUUGAUCCGACACUCGUAGCCUCGAUUGUACUCAAAACAGUUUUGACGGCAAAACGGCUAGGCCGCCAUUCCCGUUUCCGUAUGCCGUUUCCGCACAUGCAUGUGCCAAUUUUGUCGUUUUGCUUGUUUUAGGCAUAUUAGUAGCCGUUUGUGAUACUAUGUGAUGCAAUCUUCUAUUUCAGAUGGUGGUGAGCUAGGUGGAGCCGGUGGGGCCUACUAGCUACUUUUCGCGACGCGAAUUUCAUCCUUUUGUUAUCCUUGUUCGUUGUGUAAGUAUUCAGGCCGCUUUUACGUGUUAGUUGUUUAUGUGAUUCGAUAUGUAUGAAAAGGGAAAAUCGAAGAGGGGUGGGUGUGAUUUGACAUGGGCCACUGUUUGCAAGAGCAGCUCACCUGCUCUCUGGCAACAGAGGAAGAGAAAGAAGCAAGAAACGAAGAGAUGGAACUCUGUCCUCCGCUUGUGCUAUUGUUAGUCACUUAGUCUUAUACAAUGCUCUCUUUCUUGUUAGAAUAGAAUUACAAUGAUGAUGAAGAAAAAGGACAGCUAUUAAUUAUUGCUCUCUUUAGUGGGUUCCAUACGGCAAAACACUUAGGCUUACAAACGCACGGCCCAAUUUGCAACCUCUGCAUUAAAAAAAAAAAAAACACACACACACACAUUGACGAACACACUCCAGCCAAUAACAAUUGGCCACAUCAGCAAAACAACAACCCUUUUGAGCCAUGGCAUUUGCGCUUUUAUACAUAUGUUAAUUAGAGGUGUCAAUGGGUCAGAUCUGCCUGACUUCGGAUCGAAAUAAUUUGGGCCAAGUUUUGCAUAUCAUUUGAUUGGGUUCAACUUGAAUCUCAAAAUUAGUCCAAUUAAACUAUGAGUUGAGUUUCAAUUCAUUUAGAGUCAACCUAAUUACAGUUCGACCGGAUCAAUUAAGUACAAAAAAAACUUAUUCUUUAAUUUAUGAUGAUGCAUUUUAUCUAAUAUAUAUUACAAUGUGCAUAAUUUAUAGUUUGUAUAUAAUGAUAAAAUAAAAUAAAUAUUAUAUGCUCAUCCUACAUAAAAUUAAGGACUAAUUCUAAAUUUAGACCAAACUCGAGCCUGAAACUUUUAUAUCCUGAACAGUCUAAUAUGGGCGUUGAACAUUUAACUUGAAACCCCAGCCUAGAAAUCCGAAUGACAUUUAAUUUUGUGAGCUGAGUUUGGACUUUUCAAAACCCGGCUAACCAGGCCCGAUUGACGCCUCUGGUACUCUUCUAUUAGGUUCUUGCUCUACUGGGUGUAUAUAUACUCUGCUCAAUUGCCAAACG